GAGCAGAUUGAAACGAUAAGUCUUAUACCUUUGAAGUUGCAGUAGUGGAGCAGAUUGAAGAUAGUGAAUCUUAUCUCCAUGAUGCUGCAGUGGAGUAGAUUGAAGAUAGCGAAUCUUAUUCCCCUGAAGUUUCAGUGGAACAGAUUAAAGCUACAAGUUACAAAUCUUAUCUCCCUGAUGCUGCAGUGGAGCAAAUUGAAGAUAGCGAAUCUUAUUUUUUUAAAGUUGCAGUAAAACAUAUUAAAGUUACAAGUUAUAAAUCUUAUCUCCCUAAAGUUGUAGUGGAGCAGAUUGAAGAUAGCAAAUCUUAUUUCUCUGAAGUUGCAGUGGAACAGAUUAAAGUUACAAGUUACAAA